rnacentral:rRNA from 1 species
GAUGAACGCUGACAGAAUGCUUAACGCAUGCAAGUCUUUGGCGAAGCUGUGCUUGCACAGCCUAGCCAAGGCGGACGGGUGAGUAACGCGUAAGGAACUUGCCCUGCAGUCAGGGAUAACAGACGGAAACGACUGAUAAGACCUGGUAAAGUCAGGCGGACUCAUGUCCAGCCUGAUGAAAAGUGAUGCUGCAGGAGAGCCUUGCGUCCUAUUAGCUUGUUGGUGGGGUAACGACCCACCAAGGCGAUGAUAGGUAGCCGGCCUGAGAGGGUGGACGGCCACAAGGGGACUGAGAUACGGCCCUUACUCCUACGGGAGGCAGCAGUGGGGAAUAUUGGACAAUGGGGGCAACCCUGAUCCAGCAAUUCUGUGUGCACGAUGAAGGUUUUCGGAUUGUAAAGUGCUUUCAGCAGGGAAGAAAAAAAUGACGGUACCUGCAGAAGAAGCGACGGCUAAAUACGUG